UUGACCACGUUCGAGAAAAGAAAACAAUUAAAUAAUUAUUUCUUUUUUUCCUGAUACCAUGUAGGCAACGUCGGGGGAGGUGAUACCCAUUCCUGACGUUUCACUUAUGAUGUCGGAAAUAGGUAUCACCUUCCCUGACGUCAAUGUUUGCUACGUCGAAAAAUGGGGGGUGGUCUUCCGGCGUCGUUUUCGUUGUGCGUCGGAAGUUCUCCAAUAAAAAGGGGUUUUCAUUUGUGUAAUUUACAAAAAUGAAAAAAAAUUAAAAAGAGAAGGUCGGGAGAGUUGAGAAAGAGAUGAAGAAGGAGAGAACACCAGGUUGUCACUAGCCGUCAUUUCUGUCCUGCCAUUCAUCAUCCUUCACACUGUCGUCUUCAUUUGGGUAAGUUUUUAGUUAGUUAUUGUUUUUGUUUGUUUUAGUUAAUUAGUUUUAGGAUUUAGAUUUUGAAUUGGUUUUAGGUUUUGGUUCUGAAUUUGAAUUAUUUUUAUGAUUUAAGAGUUGAGAUUGAAUUUGACAUGAAAUUAAUUUCAAUUCCAAUUUGAAUUAAUAUUUGAAAAUUUGUAAGGGUUACAUUGAAUGGGGGAGGGGAUAUAUUGAAUUUGGGGUCUGUAAUAGUUUUACAAUUUCUUUACAAUUGAGGUUAAAAUUUAUUUAGUUAGGGUAGUUUUUAGUUCAAGCUUAGUUUUUUAUUUAUUUUAUUAUUACGUUUUGUUUGUUGGAAAUGUUAGCUAUCUUGUAAAAGAUUGAAAUAAUUUGUGAUGGAUUUCUUAUAAUUAUCUUGCACUUAUGGUAGCCUUUUUAGAGCAAAAUUAGUUUCUAAUUUGUUGUUAGUUUUGGAGGUUCGAGGUGUUAGGUAGCUUGUAAAGUAUGUUGGAAGUGUUAGGUAGGUUUUAAACUUAACUUUAGUGAAAGUUGGGAGAUUGGGCAUAACUUAUUUAUGGAGUAAAUUCGAGCAUUUGAGAGGAGGAAUAUAAGACUAAUUAAACUUAUUUAUGUUUUAGGGCUUUUAAGGAUGGACAAGGAUGGAAUGAAACUUAAGAAUAAGUUCUCGGUUGAGUACAAAGAAGAAUUGUUUCAAUUUUUAGAGCUUGCAAAGUAUCACGUCGAUAAUUAUGGACGAACUAGGUGUCCAUGCAAGAGAUAUAUGAACUCAAUCUGGUAGUCAUUAGAGGGUCGCCAUCUAUUAACAAUUGGAAUAUCUCCCUCUCCUAUACAGACUGGGUGUAUCACGAAGAGCUAGUGAACUUGCAUAGUGGUAUAUAUAUAUGAGAUUUGAUGAAGGGAACUAGUUGAAGUAACUCUUUUGGGAAGGAACCAGCAGUAACGUUUUUCCUUAAGAAAAUGAAUUGUUGGGUAUGCUUCAUGAUUUGCAACCUCCAAUUGAACAUGAAAAAAAAAAAACAAAAGGAAGGUUUGGAGAAUGACGUGUCGUUUAAUAGUGGCACUACAAUAAAAAUGGUCUACGAC
rnacentral:lncRNA from 1 species